CUGAGGACGCGGAGGCCUCUCGGUGAGACCCGGAGCGGGGCUGACUCGCCAGAGGCGGCGGCAGCAGCAGGCAGCCCCGCUUUAUCGCUAGGCUCCUCCGGAAGCCGCUCGGCUGGUUUCCCGCCGACGUCCAUUCGGCGCAGCACAGACAGGAAAUGGGGUGAGAAGUCAUGAAAAUGGCGCUGGCCGUCCGCCUGCGGCCCCGCUUGCUGCUCUCGCUGCCGCCGCUGCCGGGCGGGUCCGCCGGCCCCCGGGCCCCCGGGGGAGCCGACGUGAGGCCACCGUUGGCUGGACUUUGUUGCUUCUGUCGCCGCCGCCUCGGCUCCGGAGCGGCCCCGCUUCCUCGCGGGGCCGGGGCCUCGGCGCUGCUCGCUCGGGGCCCGCCGCGUCCGCUGCUCAGCCCCCCGGGCCCGCGCGCGGCCCUCUCCGCCUUCCCCGCCGACGCCCGGCGCACCUACAGCGCCGAGGAGCCGCCCCAGCCGCGCCAGAAAACCAAGAUGAUCAUCCUGGGAUUCUCCAACCCCAUCAACUGGGUUCGGACUCGAAUUUACGCCUUCCUAAUCUGGGCCUAUUUCGACCAGGAAUUCAGCAUCGCGGAAUUCUCCGAGGGAGCGAAGCAGGCUUUUGCUCAUGUGUCCAAGUUACUGUCACAGUGUAAAUUUGAUCUGUUGGAAGAACUUGUGGCCAAAGAGGUGCUACAUGUAUUGAAGGAAAAGGUUACUUCACUACCUGACAACCAUAAAAAUGCCCUUGCUGCUGACAUAGAUGAAAUUGUAUACACAUCGACAGGAGACAUCUCCAUUUACUAUGAUGAGAAAGAAAAUGGAAGGUAGUAUGAAGGAAGUAUGAAGGUAUGAAAACUAAAGGGAGCUUUAGGAAGAAAAGGAUUGAAAUUUGACAAGUUAUUUAAGAAGAGAGAAAGUCAUAAAGACAUACUGGACAUGAAACAGAAGUGUUCAGAAAUUAGAAAGAGAUUUCAGAGGGAGUUUACACAAGGAGUAAAGCCUGACUGGACCAUUGCACGGAUUGAACACUCAAAGUUAUUAGAAUGAUCCUUCUUGGAAAAAUCAGCUUAUUGGACUUCUGGCAAUUACUAUGAAAAAAUUAAGGAAAGUGAUUUUUGGAUGAGUUGAUCUUCACUUAGUCAAGUCUGUGGCUUACUUUUGUAUUAUUUUGAAAUAUUCCUUGUAGUAUACUGGCAUGAUACAAUAAAGCAUUUUCCACAGAUUGUUAUUACCUUCUAUAAAAGAGAUCAAAGUAAAAAAAACUGCAACAGCUCAUUGUUGGUCUCAUAUUCAAUAUCAUUUCUAAUGUUAACUAUACAUAAAAUAAUUUUGUAGACAAUAAAGUAUUGAAAAAACUA